UAAAAUGUCAUUUUUUAUUUUAAUAUGUUCUCAUCUUCAAGGAAUCUGUAUGUUAGUGUCUGAGCACCAAGUGAUGCAAAACUCCUUUUGAAUUAGAGGCAUCUGUUCUGGAGGGAACUGGAUCAUUCUCCUGGUUCUCAUUUCAAACUCUCUCCUAUAGAUGUCCCAAGGAGCAGGCAGAGGAAAGUAUGAAUCAAGAGAAAAAGCAGAACACAAAGACUUUGAGUGACACAAAGACUUGGAAAUGGAUGUCCCCAACAAACACACCUACUAUAUUCUGAGGCUGACUAUCUGUCUCCUUCCUAAGCUCGGAAGGUAGGCUGGCUGGAGAUCAUCCCCAUGUCUGAUCUACAUGCAGUGUUUCUGAAACAAGCUCCUAUUGCCUUUUCAGAAUUGGAUGCAGAGCAAGCAGAUGACAUUCAGAAGGACGGAAGAGGCACAGUGAAGAUCGAGAACUGUUGUUCCAGAAGUAAACAAGACCAAGC
rnacentral:lncRNA from 1 species